rfam:Triticum urartu cultivar G1812 contig959139, whole genome shotgun sequence.
UAGCUACUCCCUCCGUUCGGAAUUACUUGUCGCAGAAAUGGAUAUCCAUUUCUGCGACAAGUAAUUCCGAACGGAGGGAGUAAUAC